UGGCCAUUAUUUACUUGAUCUUGACGCUCCUAAAUGGAUAACUGUGGAAAAGCUAGAGCUAAUACAUGCACCAAAGCUCCGACCCGUCAAGGGAAGAGCGCAUUUAUUAGAACAAAACCAAGCGGCUUUCAGCCGUUCCUUGCUGACUCAGAAUAACUAAGCUGGUCGCACGGCCUUGCGCUGGCGACGUGUCAUUCAAGCGUCUACUUUAUCAACUUGAUGGUAGCAUAAUUGACUACCAUGGUGGUGACGGAUAACGGAGGAUCAGGGUUCGACUCCGGAGAAGGGGCCUGAGAAAUGGCCACUACGUCUAAGGAUGGCAGCAGGCGCGCAAAUUACCCACUCUCGGCGCGAGGAGGUAGUGACGAGAAAUAACGAGGCGGUUCUCUUCAGAGGCCCGCCAUCGGAAUGGGUACAAUCUAAACCCUUUAACGAGUAUCUACGAGAGGGCAAGUCUGGUGCCAGCAGCCGCGGUAAUUCCAGCUCUCGAAAUUCAUAGAAUCAUUGCUGCGGUUAAAAAGCUCGUAGUUGGAUCUGUGAUGGCACCCAUGUGCGCUUACGGGCGUCUACAUGGUGUUUGUCGUCUUACACGCAGCGUCUCGCCGCGGGCCCUUCACUGGGCGCGUGUGCAGGCAUUGCAAGUUUACUUUGAACAAAUCAGAGUGCUUCAAACAAGCGUCACGCUUGUAUGUUCGUGCAUGGAAUAAUAGAAGAGGAUUUCGGUUCUAUUUUAUUGGUUUUAUGGGCUGAGAUAAUGGUUAACAGAGACAAACGGGGGCAUUCGUAUGGAUACGUGAGAGGUGAAAUUCUUGGACCGUAGCCAGACGGACAACAGCGAAAGCAUUUGCCAAGAAUGUCUUCAUUAAUCAAGAACGAAAGUCAGAGGUUCGAAGGCGAUCAGAUACCGCCCUAGUUCUGACCGUAAACGAUGCCAACUAGCGAUCCGCCGAUGGAAUUUUAUGUUGCCUUGGUGGGGAGCUUCCCGGAAACGAAAGUCUUCCGGUUCCGGGGGAAGUAUGGUUGCAAAGCUGAAACUUAAAGGAAUUGACGGAAGGGCACCACCAGGAGUGGAGCCUGCGGCUUAAUUUGACUCAACACGGGAAAACUCACCCGGCCCGGACACCGUGAGGAUUGACAGAUUGAUAGCUUUUUCAUGAUUCGGUGGAUGGUGGUGCAUGGCCGUUCUUAGUUCGUGGAGCGAUUUGUCUGGUUUAUUCCGAUAACGAGCGAGACUCUGGCCUACUAAAUAGUCGGCGUAUUGCCACUGUGCGCACGACUUCUUAGAGGGAUUUUCGGUGUUCAGCCGCACGAAAUUGAGCAAUAACAGGUCUGUGAUGCCCUUAGAUGUCCGGGGCUGCACGCGCGCUACACUGGCAAAAUCAGCGUGCUUGUCCUGCCUCGAAAGAGGCUGGUAAACCCUUGAAAAUUUGCCGUGAUUGGGAUCGGAAAUUGCAAUUAUUUUCCGUGAACGAGGAAUUCCAAGUAAGUGCGAGUCAUCAGCUCGCGUUGAUUACGUCCCUGCCCUUUGUACACACCGCCCGUCGCUGCCCGGGACUGAGCCGCUUCGAGAAACUUGGGGACCGUUGGGUUCUCGGCGCGCAUUCGUGUGUCGCGUUCUCGAUGGAAACCAAUUUAAUCGCAGUGGCUUGAACCGGGCAAAAGUCGUAACAAGGUAGCAAUCACUAGUGUUCCCGCGGCCGCCAUGCCGGCCGGCCGCAUGCGACGUCGGGCCCCCUUCGCCCUGUAGUGCGUCGCUUUACUAUUCUCUGGCCGCCCCUUUACAGCGUCGCGUCUGCGUGGUCCCUGCCGUUUCCCGUCUUAAUCGCCUUGCCGCUCACCCCUCCUCUCGCCAGCCGGGCCGGAAGCACGAAGUGGCCCGCCCCGGGCGCCCUUCCAGUCAGCUGCCCCGCCUGAAUGGCGUUGCGCUCACUGCCCGCUUUCCGCUCGGGAACCCUGUCGUGCCAGCUGCAUUCAUGCAUCGUGCC
rnacentral:rRNA from 1 species